ACAACUCCAACCACUGCUCUAACCACUACUCCAACCACAACUCCAGCUACAACUCCAGCUACAACUCCAACUACUACUCCAACCACAACUCCAACGACAACUCCAACCACAACUCCAGCUCCUCCAUCCACAGAAAAUUCAACCCCUCCCGUCUUGGAGUUUCUAAUGAAUCUAAACAUGAGGAUAAAAUCUUAUGGAGAGAUCAGCAAUGGAACGGCAGUAGAGCUCAUUAAACAGUUUUUUGAAGACCAUCUUCCUCGUGGAACAGCUCAUGCAGUGACUGUACGAAGCAUUCAAAGGGUUAGAGUUAACCCCUAGAACAUCGCGGAGUUGAUCGGAGAAAAAAGAGCAUUUACAUGUUGGUGGCAUUAUUCAAUCAAUAUAUCAACCAAUAUAUCACAUUAUCUAUGUUUUUAGUCUUAUUUUAAAUAUCAACACUUGGUGUAGUAGGGCGGUAUUCCAAAAGCAUGGUACAACAAAUCCAAUUUCUCCAUGAUAUCAAGGUUAAUUCUGAUUUUUUUUUUAUUCUAGCAGCUAAUCUCCUUAAAUUCAGUCAAUUCUGAGUAUCUAAACCAGGGGUGUCCAAAGUGAGGCUGGGGCCCAUUUGUGGCACCUUGGACUGACUUUGGGCGGCCUCCAAUUCCGUAGAUGCAGAUGGAGACUUAAAAAAUUGUUACCAACAUAAUUUUCUUACACAGAGAAAUGUAAAGUACAAAUCCUGUUUUCACAACUGAAAAUAAAUGUAUUCGACUGAGCCGAAAAGAAACUGAAAACUAGAUGUUUUUCUUUUCAUGCAACAAACAUGCAAACUUAAAGUAGUAAGUAGUAAAUUUCUGUCAAAUAAAUUUGAGAAUAAUCACAGAAAACUUUUCAAGAAAGUUUAAAAAGAAUUUUUGGCAGAAAUUUAGUCAUUUUUUUCUAUCUACAACGGCCCUAGUACACCACUGUAAAAAUCUACAAUAAAUAUACAGCUACUUUAUUUGCUUGAUUUUAGGUGGGGUUUUCUUUGGCCCGUGAAUAUUUUUGAGUUAAUAAUUUUGUCCCACAUGGCAAAAAGUUUGGACGCCCCUGAUCUGAACCUUAAGUUGACAGGUAAAUUUAGAGAAGGACUAAAUUUGAUUUAAAGCAAAGCUGUUGCAGUAACAGUAACUUCAAUAUCAACCAAUAUGGAUCAGAAAAGGGUUUCCCCAAAUUCAGAGUUUACAAAAACCUGCUUUCUGGAAUGGCCCUAUAAAGUACAAGAGAUCAUAUUGUGUAGAUUUGGCCUCUCCUGAUUACAGCGUGUAUUAUUCCAGCGGUAAAAGUGUCGACACUUUCUCUGAUCAAAUUCUUUGAUUUAACCUGCAAGUCAAAUUAAAGAACAUAUUUGCUAUCCUGUCACUGUAGAGUUGAAUUUUGUUGUGUUUUUUCUCAGUUUGACAGAUAUAGGAUUUUUUUUAAUUGAAUUUGAAGUGAAUUGUUUUUGUUGCUGCUUUGGGCAAACAUGCUAAAAAAACAAAGCUUUUUGGGACAUAAAUGUGGUGGCUUAUUAUUUCUUCUAACAUGUUUUUAUUGUCUUUGGGUUCAGGUUUUAAUUAACAUUCCGAAGAUUGUAUUUUAGCUUUUUUUUUCCAGCUUUGUAAUUUUUACAUGUAA